UGGGGAAUAUUGCGCAAUGGGGGCAACCCUGACGCAGCAACGCCGCGUGAAGGAUGAAGGUUUUCGGAUUGUAAACUUCUUUUGUCAAGGACGAAGAAAGUGACGGUACUUGACGAAUAAGCCACGGCUAACUACGUGCCAGCAGCCGCGGUAAUACGUAGGUGGCAAGCGUUGUCCGGAUUUACUGGGUGUAAAGGGCGAGUAGGCGGGUUUGCAAGUCAGAUGUGAAAUACCGGGGCUUAACCCCGGGGCUGCAUUUGAAACUGUAGAUCUUGAGUGAUGGGGAGAGGCAGGCGGAAUUCCCGGUGUAGCGAUGGAAUGCGUAGAUAUCGGGAGGAACACCAGUGGCGAAGGCGGCCUGCUGGACAUUAACUGACGCUGAGGAGCGAAAGCGUGGGGAGCAAACAGGAUUAGAUACCC
rnacentral:rRNA from 1 species